UACGUAGGGAGCAAGCGUUGUCCGGAUUCAUUGGGCGUAAAGAGCUCGUAGGCGGCUUGGUAAGUCGGAUGUGAAACCUCCAGGCUCAACCUGGAGUCGCCAUCCGAUACUGCCAUGGCUAGAGUCCGGUAGGGGCCCACGGAACUCCUGGUGUAGCGGUGAAAUGCGCAGAUAUCAGGAAGAACACCGGUGGCGAAGGCGGUGGGCUGGGCCGGCACUGACGCUGAGGAGCGAAAGCGUGGGGAGCGAACAGG
rnacentral:rRNA from 1 species